GGUACGUUACUGCCACCUGUGGGCCUACUAACAAAACCGACGAUUCGGGCUGAGAACGAGAAGUUUGCGUAAAUAGCGAUACAACUACAGCUGGAGGCAAUCUUGGUCGCAAGACGCACAUAAAAGAUACAUCAAUAAUGAUGAACAUAGAACAUCAGACCUGUACCACUGGCAUCCUGUACCUUCACCAGAACAGACCAGAUACCUCACAAGACAGAUAGUGUGUUUCCAGCAAAGCAUUCUAUGCUUGGGUGGAAAGAACAAUGAAGAUACAGAACAGACAUAAGCUAAUGAGAUAUGAUAAACUGGAAGCUCCGAGAGGAUGUUAUACAAAAAUAUGAUAAGUGGACUUGAUAUUUUGCUACUAGGUUUAAAGCUAGUAAACAGAAAAUCUAAAUUCCAGUACGAGUUAAGGUCACAGGAUAACAAUCUGGCUUUAUAGGUGCCUAUUUUGGACAUACAUGUCCAGUCAUCUAUAAAUAAAUCAAAACCACCUUGAUGGUUUCCUUGAAUGAAAGACGUUUGACUUUAUAGAAUGACUGCUGAUUUUUAUCAUAUAUACUUGUCUGUGUCAGAUGGACCAUUCUAGGUGACAAAAUUAAUAUAAAAUGUAUUUUUAAUAUUAUACUACAUGUAAACUACACUUGGGAAAAUAAAAAUAAAAUGGAAUGAAAGGAAAUUUGUUUGUUUCAUGUGUUACAUCAAAAUAUCUUUUAACUCUUGGAUGUCAGAAGUUUUUGCUUGUGACUGCUUGUAAAACUAAUGUAUCCGAUGUUCUCUUGAUGAAAGAUAUGUUGAACUUACACUGUAACAACCAAAUAUCCUGUAAAUACUUUUUCAAAACAUUUGAUAAAUUACAUAUGUUGCUACAAUAACCUAACAUGAAGAAAGUGGGUUUUUUAUAAAUCGUGUUUUCAGGUUGUAGUGGUGUUAGUACAGACACAGAAGAGAGAAGGCAACUAAAGAACUUCAGUUCAGGUGUGAGUUGUUACAGUUUGAAGGAAAUGUGAUUGAAAAGUGAUUGUAUUUUGUUCUGUAGGGAUGAAAAUCUGAUCCGAUACUUUGUUGUGAAACAGGGAAAAUUCUUAUGGAACUCUGAAGAAGACAAAUACCAGAAACUUAGGGUUAGAAGUUAACAAUACAUGUUCAUAUUUCCAUGAGGCAAAAGGUUUGAGCUGCAAACACCAAAGCAAAAGCAUUCCAGAUUACAGGUUUAGAGUUUGAUAGGGAUUUGCGAAAGAAUUCUAUGCAUGGUUUGGGGACAGCCGGUUAGCAUUAUCUCUGGAUCUAAGUUCAAGCUCACAUGAAUUUUGCAGUGAAAUGUAUGAAGUUCAUUUGUAAUGGUAAUGAGAUGCAGGUCUUUGUCCUACAUGGUGAGGGAAACAGUGUAUGGCAUUUUUGGAAAACAUGUAAUAGAAGAUUUUGCUGACAUGGAGCUAGUGGACAUAGCUCAGAGUUGUGAGCCUGCUCUCAAGGCAUAUAAUAGCGAAUUUGGUGGUUGAAUCCAUAGAAUAGAGUGGAUCAGGUUUAAGAGGGAAAUUUAAAAAUUUACCACAGGAUGAAAAUUACAGAAAAUGACUGGAGGUCUUUGCUUAGUUCUAGCUCUCUGAGUGAUUUGAUGUUAAUCCACUUAGAGACUGAGUCUGUUAAGAAGUUUGAUCCGUUGGAUUCAAUAUUAUUAUGGAAUUCCAGUGGUAGUAGGGCCAGGAGACCAUUCUACAGUGAUAAAAAAAGUAAAGCCUGCCAAAUUCACCAAUUGCAGUCUCAGUAUAGACACAGAUGAUGUGUUUCUAAUUGCCGAAGAACUUGACGUGGCUAGGGAAGGUGUAUGUGAUGAUGAUGGUGACAAUGACGAUUGAUGAUGAGGACUACAAGACCUCAUUGCUGUCAAAACAGAGCUUACAGACUUAUGAUGGACCUUGUUGAAUAAUAAUUACUAAAAAUAUGUAAUAAUACUUGAGUAAAGUUGAAUAAUAUGACUGAAGUUUACUAAAUUGCUCAACAGGCAGUAGGACCACCUGAAACCUUAUUGCACCAGCAGUUUGCAACAGUUAAUGUCUUGUCCUGAACAGGUUGACGAAUGAGCUUAACCCGCUAAACAGAUUAUGGCUCUAUUUCCUAGUAUUUGUUGUAGUGUGCCAAUGAGAGCAUUUUUCCAUUCAGCAUUGGAAUAUGUGGGACCUUUCAUUACUGUCCAAGGUCGAGGAAAACAGCCUGAAAUAAGAUAUUUAUGUCUGUUUACUUGUCUAAACACCUGGACUGUUCAUAUAUAUAUCAAAAAUUACAAUACAUAGUAAUGAUAACAGAAUCUUCUUCAUCUUUUUAUACACUGCAUCUUCUUUUUUCCUGAAAGAGAAAAAUGUCUUUCUCUUCCUCCAAGAUUAUAAUAUAUAUAUAAUUGAAUUAUUGUAUCAUACAAGGCAAUUUUUCAAAAUGUUUGAAAUCAAUGAUACAAAAUUAAAAACAUGAAUACUUUUAUUAUUUGAACGCAAACUGGAAAAAGUAACAGUGUUGCUGUAUAUAUCAGUAUUAAAGUGAGUUACUAGAAAGUACAUGUACAUUUCAAGUUCUUGUUGAAAGUACUGGUUUAACAAGGAAAAUACUAGGUAGUUUGUUGUUUUCAUGAAACUCGUGUAUGAUAUUUAAAAGAGAAUCAUGUUUAUAUAUAUUUUGUUUAAAAUUUGGAUUUCAGUAAACAUGUAUAGCUUAAUUUAAGGAUAGUAAUACAAGAGAAAAAAAUCGUAUAGUUCAUAGCCAAAUUGUUUAAAGGUCUAUUAUAGACGAAAUAUGGAAUAUGUGGUGCAUAUCAAGUUUGUGCAAAUUAGUUUAUAUCUUACAUUUUGUAUUAGACUUAUAGCCUUACUAAGAGAAUUGAAUUAUAGGUACAUGUACAUGAAACUGAGAUAAUACAAAGGAUUAUUGUAUUCUCUUAAGAAAUAGAUUUUUUUUUUCGUAAAUAGCAAUUAUGUCUAAUUCUUAAAUUUAAAUGAUAGUAAAUGUACAAGUAUUGCUGAACUAGGUAAUAGUUUAUAAGUUGAGCUAUUUAUGAAAUAGUUACAUCAUGUUUAUGCCGCCGAGGCGCCUUACGUCUCUCUUGGUUGCUUGAGUAGGGAUGCAGAUUCGUCUCAGCGGUAGAGUGAUUUACUAUCUUGGGGACUGGGGAUGUUCAGUGACUAAAACUGUAAUAAAAUAUAUUCCUUUACAAAUAUAUUAUAUCAUAAUAAAAUAUAAUCUAUUGAGGUUAUAAAAACCAAACAACUAUAAGUUUUCAAAAUAUCAUCUUAAACUGAUACGUUCAUAUAAGCAAAUGUAAACAAACAUGGCUGACGGCAGUAACUUAGAAUAUACAUGUGUGUACUUUAAACAUGAUCAUCUAUUUAGAAAUGUAAAAUACAUAUAACAUGAUUAAAUGAGUUGUAUGCAACUGAAGAUACGCAAACUGACGUACCUGUAACAAAAUGUAUCUCUUUAUUAAUAUAUUAUAUCAUAAUAAAAUAUAAUUUAUUGAGGUAAUAAAAACCAAACAACUGUACAUUUUCAAAAUGUCAUUGUAAACUGAUAGGUUGAUACGAUUGGCUGAAAAGUAUAGGAAUAAUAAUAAAUAAUUACCAUAACAAAGGGACAGGUAAUUUGUUAGUCACGUUAGUCAUCCAUUGUAUAAUUAUAUUACAGCUUAGGACUGAUAGGUAAAUAUAGGAAGUCAUUAUAGGCUUCUUUGUAUCUUGGUGACUCACGAAAGAAUUCCUCAAUGAAUAAAGGUAAGUAUAGACAUAGGUAAGUAUGGACACAGGUAAGUAUGGACUUCGGUAAGUAUACACUAAAACCCAAAACACAGGUAAGUAUACGGCCUACUUGCAAGUAUACGGCCAACAUUUAAAUCUACAGUUGCAUGUUUAUAGUGCGAUUUUGUUCAAACAACACAUAAAUUAAAUGUCCAUAAAACUUUAAAAAGUUUGAUAGGUUUUUAUUAGCUCGACUAUUCGAAGAAUAGUCUAGUUGUUCUACUCACCCUGGCGUCGGCGUCACACCUUGGUUAAGUUUUUGCAUGCAAG
rnacentral:lncRNA from 1 species